GAUGAAGAACGUAGCGAAAUGCGAUAACUAAUGUGAAUUGCAGAAUUCCGUGAAUCAUCGAGUCUUUGAACGCACAUUGCGCCCCCUGGUAUUCCGGGGGGCAUGCCUGUCCGAGCGUCAUUGCUGCCCAUCAAGCACGGCUUGUGUGUUGGGUCCUCGUCCCCCCCGGGGGACGUGCCCGAAAGGCAGCGGCGGCACCGCGUCCGGUCCUCGAGCGUAUGGGGCUUUGUCACCCGCUCUGCAGGCCCGGCCGGCGCUGGCCGACGCGAAAGCAACCAUUUUUUCUCCAGGUUGACCUCGGAUCAGGUAGGGAUACCCGCUGAACUUAAGCAUACAAUAAGCGGAGGA
rnacentral:misc_RNA from 1 species